ensembl:lncRNA
GAAUGAGAUAUCAACCAGAUUCCUUUUUCUAUGGCUUCCCUAAUGUGUCUAGAGUCACAAUACAUAGUUUCAGGCUUUUAUUUUGAAAAAUGAGCCUGAACGUCAACAUUGCAUCAGUGGUCAGCUGAAGUCUCUCAGAGUGUUUUGUGCAUAAAGGACAAAUGCGGCCAUUGUUUCUCUCUAUCCUACUAAGAAGCCACCAGUCCCGGUUGAUAUAUUAUCGAAUAGAUAUUUGAAAAACACCUUGAGGCUUGAUUAUAAACAAUGUUUGCCAUGUUUCUGUCGAUAUUAUGGAGCUAAUUUGGAAUAUUUUUCGGCGUUGUAGUGACCGCAAAUUCCGGUCGAUUUCUCAGCCAAACGUGAAGAACAAACGGAGCUAUUUCACCUACAAAAAUAAUAUUUUUGGAAAAAAGGAACAUUUGCUAUCUAACUGGGAGUCUCUUGAGUGAAAACAUCCGAAGCUCAUCAAAGGUUCACCAGCUGACAUCAAUCAAGAAACCCAUGUGGACUGGAUAUGUAAACAUUGUGUACACAUGUCAUCCCUUAUUCUGUUGGGACAUACAUUGGGACCUCUUCAUCUGUGGACAGGGUUUCAUAGCUCUUUGUAUCUGAGGACAGAAAACAAAGAAACCAGCUGCAUAAUACUCACAUUAGACAGCACAGAAUUGUGUGCAUUUUUCUUCAUAUUCCAUCCAGUUUGCUUUAUUUUUGUAGAUUACAUUAGAUUGUUCUUGAAUAAGUUCCUCAGGUUCUUUUUGUUUUUCCUCUAACUUAUUUUGUAUCUCUGUAGUAUUGUUUUUAUUGCUAUCUACUAUUAGCUCAUGGAUUUCCCUUGUCAGUCUUUGUUAGUCUUGUUUCUUUAGCCAGAAACUGCUUUUUUAUUAUUGAUGAAUAUUGAAUUGAAUGACCCCUGAAGGUACAUUUAAAGGUAUCCCAAACAAUAAGGGGAUUUGCUGAACCUAUAUUAUACUGAAAAAAUUCAGUUAUAAAUUAUUUUGUCUUAAAAGUUAAAAACUUUGAUUAAAUUUCCAAAAUCCCCGUCCACAUGGAAAAUCUAUAAGAUUUAUGUGAAUGCCAAUUAGAUGAUGAUCCGAUCGCAUUCUGUCUCCUAUUAAAACUUUUUUAACCUUUUGUCUCUUUCUCUCUAGCAUCAAAGAAAAUAGUCAUGAUGACUAGCUUGAUUAAUUCUCCAUGUAUAUCUCACUAGGUCGGGGUUUUUUAGUCUCUAAAUAUCCACUAUUUCUAAUGUGUCCAAAAUAUUUGUGAUUUCCUUGAGGGCACGGUGAUGAUAGUUUGUAGAGUGAUUACCUUUACGGUCCAUUGAGGCACUGUGUUAUAGUCUCCUACCAUAAUGAUUAGAUCAUUUGUUGCCUGUAAGUUCAAUAAAUUGGUAUAAAUGUUUUUGAAGAAGUGUGGAUCAUCCUGAUUUGGACCAUAUAGGUUAAUGAGCCAAAUCUCUUUUUUGUCCACUUUCAUAUUCAAAAGAAUCCACCUUCCUUGCGAAUCAUUCCUGAUUAUUUGCACAUUUUUGUUAAUUAAUAUCAUCACACCCUUUGAGUUCCUUUGUCCAAGACAGAAAAUUAUUUCACCACCCCAUUCCUUUUUCCCACGCAACUUCAUCUAAGGAUGUAGAGUGAGUUUGCUGCAAACAGUAUAUGUUAUAUUCCUUUUCUUUUAGCCAUGUAAAGACUGAUCUUCUUUUUUUAUAAUCUGCUAAUCCGUUACAAUUAUAACUAGCUAUACUUAUUCCAGCCUUUACCAUAACUAGAUACUAUUCUCAGGCUAAAUUGACCAUAAUCAGUGCUUGUAAAGUUACUGCCAUCAGAGGUAUUAUGAAGGUCAAAACUCGAGCUUUCAAAUGUCUGAUAUUUAGAAUUCAAGAAAUAGGUUCUAGCAAUAUUUGUUUUAUUCCCUUGCCUGUUUGCCUGUGAGACAAUGCCACAGAUGUUAGACAAUUGAGACAAAUUAUGUGUGUAACAAAUCUGAAUAUGUUGAUGUGUAUGAUAUUGGAUAUGAUAUGAGUGUGUAUGAUGUCUGUAUAAGAGUAAGACUAUAAUGUGUGAUGUCCAAAUAAAUAAUAACUCUGCCAAUUUGCAUGUUUGAGUGUCUAUGUGUGUAACAUGUAGUGCUUAUAGCCUUAAUAUUCAUAAUUGUAAUCCAUAUCGUAUCACCAUCAUAGUUGCAUCAUAAUUACCUUUAAAUUGUGUUUUCUAGUUUGUGUUUUAGCCUAGUGGUUAGAGCAUUGGGCCAGUAACCGAA